rnacentral:pre_miRNA from 1 species
GAGGGAAAGCAGGAUUCUAGUCUGUGUGCCCCCGGCGCCCUGGGAUACGGGGCCUGCGCCACUGGAAUCAUGCUCCUGGCCGCACAGCCCCCU